NNNNNNNNNNNNNNNNNNNUGGGAGCGCCGGUGCUGGGCACUGGGGGCACUGGUGCUGGGUUCUGGUACUGGGCCUGCAGGCAAUGGGAGCAGUGGUGUGGGGCACUGGGAGCACUGGUGUUUGGCUCUGGGGGUACUGGGAGCACAGGUGUUGGGCGCUGCAGGCACUGGGAGCACUGGUGCUGUGCACUGGUAGUACUGGGAGCACUGUUGCUGUGCACUGAUGGCACUGGGGGCACUGGGAGCUAUGGUACUGAGCUCUGCAGGCACUGGGAGACACUGGUGUUGGGCCCUGCAGGCACUGGAGGCACUGGGAGCACUGGUGUUGGGCUCUGGGGGCACUGAAGCUGUGCACUUGGGGCACUGGGAACACUGGGAGCACUGGUGUUGGGCCCUGCAGGCACUGGGAGGCACUGGGAGCACUGGCACUGAGCUCUGCAGACACUGGGAGCACUGGUGUUGGGCCUUGCAGGCACUGGGAGCGCUGGAGGCACUGGGAGAACUGGUCCUGGGCACUGGGAGCACUGGUACUGGGCUCUACAUGUACUGGGAGUACUGGGAGCACUGGAGCAGUGCACUGGUGGCCCUAGGAGCACUGGUGCUCUGCUCUGGGAGCACUGGUGCUGGGCACUGCAGGCACUGGGAGCACUGGUGUUGGGCCCUGCAGGCACUGGGAGCACUGGAGCUGUGCACUGGGAAGCACUGGGAGCACUGGUGGUGGGCACUGGGAACACUGGAGCUGUGCACUGGUGGCACUAGGUGUACUGGGAGCUCUGGAGCUGUGCACUGGGAAGCACUGGGAGCGCUGGUAUUGGGCCCUGCAGGCACUGGGAGCACUGGUGUUCGGCUCUGGGGACACUGGGGACACUGGAGCUGCGUACUGGUGGCACUGGGAGCACUGGCGUUGGGCCCUGCAGGCACUGGGAGCACUGGCGUUCUGCUCUGGGGGCACUGGUGCUGGGCACCGGGAACACUGAAGCUAUGUACUGGUGGCACUGGGAGCACUGAUACUGGGCUUUGGGGACACUGGGAGCACUGAUACUGGGCCUUGGUGACACUGGGGGCACUGGGGCUGCGUACUGGUUACACUGGUGGCACUGGCUCCCCUCAGGCCCCGUCACGGCGCGCAGGCCGCGUCCCCUUUAAGCCCCACCCCCCCACACACCUCAACCCCUCCCCGCGCCGCGCAGCGCCGUGACGUCACGCGGGGCGCAGCGGC
rnacentral:lncRNA from 1 species